rnacentral:rRNA from 1 species
UACGUAGGGGGCUAGCGUUGUCCGGAAUCAUUGGGCGUAAAGCGCGUGUAGGCGGUCCGAUAAGUCCGCUGUGAAAGUCGAGGGCUCAACCCUCGAAUGCCGGUGGAUACUGUCGGGCUUGAGUACGGGAGAGGCGAGUGGAAUUCUGGUGUAGCGGUGAAAUGCGCAGAUAUCAGGAGGAACACCGGUGGCGAAAGGGCGGGAUCUCUGGGCCCGAAACUGACGCUGAGGGAGCGAAAGCGUGGGAGCAAACAG